rnacentral:rRNA from 1 species
GAUGAACGCUGACAGAAUGCUUAACACAUGCAAGUCAUUGGCGAAGCUGCGCUUGCGCAGUCUAGCCAAGGCGGACGGGUGAGUAACGCGUAAGGAACUUGCUCUGCAGACAGGGAUAACAGACGGAAACGACUGAUAACACCUGGUAUUGUCAGGCUGGCGCAUGCCGGCCUGAUGAAAGGAGACGCUGCAGGAGAGCCUUGCGUCCUAUUAGCUAGUUGGUGGGGUAACGGCCCACCAAGGCGAUGAUAGGUAGCCGGCCUGAGAGGGUGAACGGCCACAAGGGGACUGAGAUACGGCCCUUACUCCUACGGGAGGCAGCAGUGGGGAAUAUUGGACAAUGGGGGCAACCCUGAUCCAGCAAUUCUGUGUGCACGAAGAAGGUUUUCGGAUUGUAAAGUGCUUUCAGCAGGGAAGAAGAAAGUGACGGUACCUGCAGAAGAAGCGACGGCUAAAUACGUG